rnacentral:rRNA from 1 species
AAUGAACGUUGGCGGCGUGGAUUAGGCAUGCAAGUCGAGCGCGAUAUGUAGCAAUACAUGGAGAGCGGCGAAAGGGAGAGUAAUACGUAGGUAUCUACCCUCGGGUCUGGGAUAGCAGCGGGAAACUGCUGGUAAUACCAGAUAACGUCUCCGGACCAAAGGUGUGAUUCCACCUGAGGAGGAGCCUACGGCCUAUUAGCUAGUUGGUAGGGUAACGGCCUAACAAGGCAAAGAUGGGUAUGGGGUGUGAGAGCAUGCCCCCACUCACUGGGACUGAGACACUGCCCAGACACCUACGGGUGGCUGCAGUCGAGAAUCUUCGGCAAUGGGCGAAAGCCUGACCGAGCGACGCCGCGUGCGGGAUGAAGGCCUUCGGGUUGUAAACCGCUGUCGUAGUGGAGGAAAUGUAGGAGAGUUAUCUCUUCUACUUGACUAAUACUAGGAGGAAGGACCGGCUAAUCUCGUGCCAGCCGCCGCCGUAACAC